rfam:Ovis aries breed Texel chromosome 14, whole genome shotgun sequence.
UCUCUGGUGGUCCACUGGCUAAGACUCUGUACUCCCAAUGCAGGGGGCCUGGGUUCAAUCCCUGGUUGGGGAA